GGGGAGGGAGUAGGGGAUUCGAGUCCAAGGUCGAGGCCCCGUGCGCGCUCCACAAGAGCGGCGCCGGGCCCGGAAGAAGGCACCAGCUUCUCCAGCUAGAAAUUGAAAACUACCCUUUGUAUGCACGAAGCAACAAUUUUCCGGUGGCAAUGUCGGAGGGGUCCCACCCGUUCCCAUCCCGAACACGGAAGUUAAGCCCUCCAGAGCCGAUGGUACUCCGCGGGAAACCGCGCGGGAGAGUAGGUCGCUGCCGGAU
rnacentral:rRNA from 1 species